UACGUAGGGGGCAAGCGUUGUCCGGAUUUAUUGGGCGUAAAGAGCGUGUAGGCGGCUAGACAAGUCUGCUGUGAAAACUCGAGGCUCAACCUCGAGCUGUCGGCGGAAACUGUCUGGCUAGAGUCCGGAAGAGGAGAGUGGAAUUCCUGGUGUAGCGGUGAAAUGCGCAGAUAUCAGGAAGAACACCUAUGGCGAAGGCAGCUCUCUGGGACGGUACUGACGCUGAGACGCGAAAGCGUGGGGAGCGAACAGG
rnacentral:rRNA from 2 species